UUUGAAAAAACAAUUAAAUUUUUUAAUAUAAUUAAAGUUUUUUUUUUUUAUUAUUUAAUGAAAAAAGUAAAAUUUAAUAUUUAAAUAGUACCGGAUGGGAAAUCAAUAAUUUAAUUUAAAGAGAAUAUUAAUUUUACCUUUUGUAUCAGGGUUAAUAAAUAAUUUUUUAAAAAUCUAUUAUUCUUGAAUUUUAAAUAUUUAUUUUUAUAAGAAUUUUAUUGUUGAAUAAAUAAUUAUAAUAUAAAAAUGGAAGGGAAAUCUUAUUCAAUUUAAAAUAUAUCUAGUUGAUUUAUAAAUAAAUUUAAUUUAAAAUUAUUAGGAACAGUUAUUAUGAUAAUUGUUUAGUUUAAUUUAAAUUUUUAAAGGGUUAAUCUUUUAAUUUUUUAAUAAAUUUAUAUUAGGUAAUUUAUGUAAAAUUAAAAUUUUUAUUCAUAUUUAUUUAUUUAUUUAAAAAGUUAUUUAUUUAUUAUUUAUUAUGUUUUUAUUUUUUCUAAAUUUAAAUUUUGAAUUAUAUAAUUUUGUAAUAAUGAUUAAAUUAGUAAAUUUAAUUGUUUAUUAAUUAUUAAAUGGAAGUUAAUUAAAGGAAUUAGGCAAAUAUUUUUCUUGCUUGUUUAAUAAAAACAUCUUUUUAAGUUAAUGAUUUAAGAUAAUAUCUGCCCACUGAGGAUUAAAUGGCCGCAGUAAUUUGACUGUGCAAAGGUAGCAUAAUAAUUAGUUUCUUAAAUGGGAACUGGAAUGAAUGAUUUGACAAGGAAAAAUCUGUCUUUAUUUAAUUUAUAAUUGAAUUUUAUUUUUUAGUGAAAAAUCUAAAAUGUAAUUAGAAGACGAGAAGACCCUAUAGAAUUUUAUUUAUAUAAAAUUUAGUAUUAUAAUGGAUAAAUUUAAUUGGGGUGAUUACAAGAUAAAAACUCUUGUUUAUAAUUCAUGAUUACUUGGAUUUAUGAAUCUUUUUGAUGUUGGAAAAAUUACCUUAGGGAUAACAGCGUAAUUUUAUUUUUAAGUUCUUAUUAAAAGUAGAGAUUUCGACCUCGAUGUUGGAUUAAAAUUAAUUUUUGGUGAAGAAGCUAAAAAAUUGAGUCUGUUCGACUUUUAAAAUUUUACAUGAUCUGAGUUUAAAUCGGUGUGAGCCAGAUUGGUUUCUAUCUUUAGUAAAAAUUUAUUGACUAGUACGAGAGGACCUUCAUUAAGAAUAAUAUUUUUAUUCAGAAUUAA
rnacentral:rRNA from 1 species